UACCUGGUUGAUCCUGC
rnacentral:ncRNA from 17 species